GCUGAGGGGAAUCAGAUGGCCAAGCAAUCCCCUGAGGGAGCCAAGCUGAGGAGGAACCAGCUGGGCUGGGACUAUCAAGACAGGAAAUUAGCAGCAGAAGGGGCUGCUAGGAAAGUUGGCAGUCACAGCUUGGGAGAAGAGAGGUGCAUUUGGGCUAGCAAACCCAGUGGAGUCAAGAAGCCAGGAACUGUUUAUCAUCCUGGAGCCAAUACUCUCCCAACCCUCCAAAGGCAGACUCAUGGACCAUGAAGCUAAAGAAGGCACCUCUGGGGGCACACUACCAAGGACAGAUUCGUGACAUGGUGUCUCAGGGACAGCUCCAUCGAUGUUGAGAACAAUGGACAUCCGUGGAAACAGCGCUUGGUUUACUACCUGGACCAGCUGGAGACUGGGGCAUUUACAAAGACAAACCCCAGAAGAGUCUUUGAACAGUGGGGCUCCCUGGGCUAAGAAACAAUGAACUGUAGCUGUAUAAGAGCAGAAGAAAUAGCCCAAGAGAAGAAACUCUGCCAGCGGUGGGGUGGGGUGUCACAAAAGGUGGAUCCCAGCUCUUUAAACUGGACCCGCACUACAAGGACUGACCUUGGGGUGAGAGAGACCUUAUUAGACAGGAAAG